AUUUUAGCAUUAAAAAUAUAAUUUUUAUUAAAGAGCUUACACAUACUGGUGGACUAACCACUACAGAAACAUUAAAAAUACUUUUUGAAUACCAGUACUAUCAAUUUAAGGCAGCUGGUGCAUAAACCUUACACCGGGUGGUGGUCUAAUAAGCACUGUAUUGUUUAAAAGCUGUUCGCAAACAUACUAUAGAUUUUCUGGGAAGGAAAAUGGUAGAAAGUAUAUUUAGUUAAAGGUGUAAACAUGAAAAAACAAACAAAAAAUAAAUUAAAAUGACUUUAUAAGUAAACACUUUUAUGUGAAAGUGUCUGAAAUUUUGUAGUAGAAAAAUCGUGUUUUUUCAAACUAAAUUUCAUUACUGUUUUAUUAUGUAACAAUAUCUAAACUUCCCCUCUCAGCAAUUGGGUGUUUACAGUGUUUGACUGAGACACACCAAUGACUGCAGAAAACAUUAUUUUACGAUAAUAAAACAAAAUUUACAGCGCUGGGACAAACCCAAAAAAGUUCCACCGGAAGCUUUCUCUGUGGCUACGCGCAGCUCCAAUGCGCAGCUACGUCACUAUCCGGUUCCUACGACAGAGAAGAGCGCGAGAUAGAAAUCCAAGAGCGCGGACAACUCUGGCGCUCCGCACCAGCUGGUUGUAUAGGCUGUAACAUUAGAACAGUGCCGAGCCUCCAUCACCAACACUGGCUACAGCAUAAAGACAUUAAUCACGGGUAUUACGACGACAUAAUACCAAGUACGUAUGCACAUGACGUGCAACGGCCGCCGGAGAAAUCGCUUUCGGACCGUAAACAACAGAAAUAGAGGGAAAUGUCCCGGUGGCCGCGCGGUGAGGAUGGAGAGGAGGCCAUGCAUCAGGACACUGAUUCUGAUGUGGCAGAGCAGAGGGAUGGAGGGAAAGUGAAGGUGAAAUGGACUCAAGAGGAGGAUGACAAGCUUAAAACGCUGGUUCAAAAACUGGGACCAAAUGACUGGAAAACCAUAGCCAGCUACAUACCUAAUCAUACUGAACAUCAGUGUCAGCAUCGCUGGUUUAAAGUCUUGGACCCAGAAUUAGUGAAAGGCCCCUGGACUAAAGAGGAAGAUGAGAAGGUUAUAGAGCUUGUGAAUCUUUAUGGCAACAAACAGUGGGCGCUGGUAGCCAAGCACCUGAAAGGCAGACUGGGGAAGCAGUGCAGAGAGCGCUGGCACAACCACCUCAAUCCCAGCGUUAAGAAGUCUUCGUGGACGGCUGAGGAGGACCUCAUCAUCUAUAAGGCUCACUGCCUGCUUGGCAAUCGCUGGGCUGAGAUCGCAAAACUGCUCCCUGGAAGGACGGACAAUGCAGUGAAGAAUCACUGGAAUUCGACCAUCAAACGGAAGUUAGAGAUGGGCUUCUACUCCGGGGAGGUCUUCAGGCCCAAUGAGCUGGAGGAGCUGUGGGCUCGUGUUAGCAAGGAUGGUCAGAUGCCCAGUUGCUCUCAAGACAGUUCAGACAAGGACUCGGAGCAGAAGAUCCCUCCUUCACUGCAGGAAACAGCUAAAGCUGGCCCCAGCAAAGCUGGGCUGUCAAAGUCUGUUCCCUCUCCAAGCAACAGUCUGAGCCCCAAGAGUGAGGUGGACAGCACAGGAGGACUGAACAGCACUAGCUGGGUGGUGGACAGCUCCGGAUUCCUGUCUCCCACUGGCCCAGCUCUGAAGGAAGUGUUAGACAUGGUGGAUGGGGAUCUUGAUGGCUGGUGCAACCUCGCAGCCUUUGACCUCCCCGAGGACAGUCCCAGCCCAGAGCGACAUCAGUUUCGUCUGGAAGGCAGCGCCUUGCAGGAACUAAGCAAAGGAAGCAAAGGAGAACUCAUCCCCAUCUCUCCUGGAGGCGUCACACCCCCCUCCAUACUGAGCCACCGGAGCCGAAGGUGCAUCGCUUUGUCUCCCGACGCCAACAAGUCCAUGACUCCUAAGAGCACCCCUGUCAAAAUCUUGCCCUUUUCUCCAUCUCAAUUUCUCAACAUGUGGACUAAGCAGGACACUCAUGACUUAGAGAACCCGUCUCUCACGUCCACACCUGUGUGUAGCCAGAAAGCCAUUGUUACCACCCCGCUGCAGCGAGACAAGACGCCUCUCACUCAAAAAGAAAACUCAGUUUUUGUUACACCCAACCACAAGUCUGAGCUGUGUACCCCACGAACUCCAACACCGUUUAAAAAUGCCAUGGAGAAGUACGGGCCUCUGCAGCCUCUGCCUCAGACUCCCAACCUCGAGGACGACAUAAAUGAGGUCAUCUUGAGAGAUGCAGGGAUCGACUUAAUCAUGCGCUUAACUCCACCCGAACAGAGGCGCAAAACUGUGAUAUUUUUAACAGAUCUUGUUUCUCAUUGCCGAUUCGAUCGUCUUUUAUUGCCAGCAUCGCCCUCCUAUGAAGAAAGUGCGUAAAUCGUUGGCCCUGGAUGUAAUGGACUGCCAGGUGAUGCCUACAUCCAAACGUAAAUCAGCCAAACACAACAUCAAGGAAGAACCGAUGUUGAUUUCUGUCAGCUCUUCACCACUUAGCAGCAAGCGGCACGAAAACAUUUUGGAUCAGGGCUUCCUUUUGGGACCAAGUGACAGUGCCAUAUUUCCCAGCACAGGCUCCCCAGUUCCAAUGUCAAAGGAAUGGGAAAUGGUUGUUUGCGGUCAAACUAAAGACCAGUUAAUAAUGACAGAGAAAGCCCGGCGCUACCUUCGCUCACUAAAAUCCCACGCUCCUAGCCGGGCUCUGAUCCUGUCCUGAGAUGGCUCGUCUUUUUACGCCAAAAUGUUACUUAUCCAGAACUUACAGUUGCUAUUUUCCCAUUUCUCCUGAGGGCCUGGUGUACUUUGUGGCGGAGAAAGGGUCACGUCUUGUAAGGUUAGCGCCAUGUUUGAACAACUCGUUAGUGAUCAGGUUAUUGACAGUGUUAGGCCUGUCUGAAAGACAAUGUUGCUUUUAGAUGUAGAGUCAGGCAGCCAGGCAUGUUUAAUUUCAUAGUUGUUAUUUCAGUGUUUGAAAAGAACGAAUGAAUGUUGAGGGGGAAGAAGAAGAAUGUGUAAAUGAAAAAUCAAGGCUCUAUAGUUUUGCCAUCACUGGAAAAAAAAAAAGGUUUUACAUGUGAUUAAACAGUUUUUUUAAACAUUGUAUUUUUAACAUUGUAUUUUGUACAAAGUUUGCCCCUCCAUAUCCAGGUUCUGUGUUAUGGAGGAUUUACAGGUUGAACAGUAAUGCAUGAAGGGAACACUUAUUGUAGGGUCUAUUUAGCAUGUAUAGAUUCUUUUUAUGAUGCAUCUCGGUACACACAAAUUGUAGCUUCCCACACAUUGGAGAGAAAUUGACACUAAUCAUAUCUCUAAAGAUGAGGAGCUACCCAUCAAGAUGCGUACAUCUCAAGUUUUAAUCUGUAAUAGUCAUUUAUGUGAGAUGUAGUGAAGGUGUAAAUGUGUUCCAACUGUUGGUGUGAAGGGGAUUAUAAAUAAUUUGACACUGUAAAUAGAGUUGACUGUUUGCUCUAUCAUACAAGAAUGUUACAGAAUUGAAUAAAAUACUGAUAUGUUCAAUA